CAGAGACAGAAUUCUUUCUUUACAAUUUUAUUUACAAAAUGUAUUAAAACUUUGUACAAUACCUCAUGGCAAUGAGGUUCAGUAAUUAUGCCCACACAUGCAAUUUACACUUUUACGGCCAUUAGUUUGCUUGGCAAUUUUUCUGUUCACUGAAGUACAGCUUUAACAACAAAAAGAAAAGAAUUGGAAAAAAAUCCUCAAGUGACUACUGCCAAAAAUCCCAUAGCUUGAAGUUAAUAGCAGAAAUUUGAAGCAAUCAACAUUUUUUAAACAUGCAAGUUUUUUUUUAAUAACAAACCAAUUUACCCGCUUCUUAAUCUCAGUAAAGUUUCCUCUCUGAAAAACUGAUUUGAGUCAAUAAACAUACGUUUCUCUUUAUACAGUGCCUAUGAAAACGUUUGUGUAUAGGUUAGUUGGUUUGUUUUAUACAACUUCAUAUUCACACAGCGUUAGCUUCCCGCACUGGGACAUUAUAGCAUUCCUAAGUUGAAAAAUCACAGUUUCAUGAGAACAAAACAAAACAAAGCACAACAGCUUUCUUUUGUGUUCAAUACCAUUUAAAAUUUGACAGGUGAGUUAUUUGCUUAUGACACACUUUCUGGAAUGAAAGUUUAUAUUACACCUUUCUGGAAAUGUUUCAUUGGAACGAGACCUCUUCCUUUCUUUUCUAAAGAUGAGAGCAAAUAUGCAGCGAGUCAACUAAGCAUCUAAGGGUCACACUUGGGAAAUGAAGGUGGGCUCGUAAUUUGUACAGUCUGGAAACUUUCCAAUGCACGUUACUGAUGAGAGCAAACUACUGAACUACAUAAAGCAUACGUCGUUAUAUAGGAGGUAAUUAGUGAGCGGAGACUAUUUCCUCUGACUGUUCUGAUGAUGCCAACAGCAGGUAUGCAAUUAGUUACUUGAUAGCCCAUGGAGCAGUGGAGCGAUCUUCGAUGAGUCAGUAGAGAAACUGCUCCAAGCAAGGACCUGGGAGUGAUGCUGAGGUCCCUCAGGUUAGCAAUAGGUUUGGGAAUGCAUCUUAGUCUUUGCAAACUAGAAAAGGACACAUGCAGUCUGACGGAGAGCCACAGGCAGGCGGUAACAGGCAACAGCUGGUAAAACAGACCUAGCAAGAGUCAAGUCAGAUUGCGAACUGUGGUCUGAACCCACUGGCCUGCCUUGCAACACGGUCCUGUCUCCGUGUUGUACACUUGAAAAGGCAUACUUAGCAGAGAAAGCAGAGCUAAACACAGUGUUGUUUCUGGGAAAGAUAUUCCAAACACGACUGGGAGAAUAGGCAGCAUUUCCCUCACCUCAAUGCUUCUUUACUACUCGGCUAUAUCGACUUAAAAUGCACACGGAAUCAAGGAAAACAGACCUGUGAGCUGUGAUUCCAGGCUUUUUGGAAAGCUCCGGGAUCCGUUUUAGGAAAGCACCAAGAGGUAUGCCUGAUAGUGCCCCACCCCUUGCUACACACAGAAGUCAACUUGGAAAGUUCUAUUAAUCCCUUCACUUCCGUUAUGGGAAGUUCGCCACACAUUCUUCACAAAACCAUUGCAAGAACACUAAAUCACCAUUCAUUAUCUUUCCCAAAGCAUUUGAAUGUUCUUAAGUGUCACAUUGACAUCCUAAAGAUAUACACAUUUCAGCAACAUCGAAAGGAAAUAGGGUGCACAGAAAACAUCACCACCAACAGGAAAUACCAAAAACAUCUGAUCAGCAGAUCCUAGAAGAAAUGCCUGUCUGUCUGCCCAAACACUGGGAGACAGUUUUUUUUGUAAAUCAGGAGGAAUUACUUCUUUCAGCUAAGAUGGGUCUAUUUGCUCAAUUGGAAUUAAAUUUUAUUGUGUGUGUGUGUGUGUGUGUGUGUGUGUGUGUGUAACUGUGUAUGUGCAAGUAUGUGUGUGUAUGUGCACGUGUGUACUAGAGAACAUGGUUUUGUAUAUUGUCAGUGGUAUCAAAGAAUGGCUUUUGUCAAAUGGAUGUUUCUAAUAAGAUUUUUUUUCCGCAUACUGGAAUCUUGUGUGUCCGCUUUUUUUGUUGGUUUUAUUUUAUUUUUUUUCAAGCAAAGCAAAACAAUUUCAAUGAUGGUUUGCAUUGUCGCGAGUCUCAGAGUGUUCCAUAAGGCACUGAAGGAAAAAAAAAAUCAGUUUUUCCUAUUGAAAGGUCAUUGCACCAUCAGCAAUAUUCGUGUCAUGCCCGACACCAAGGAGAGUGAAAUCUGGCUCAGGAUCCUUGAGACAGCCACAUUUUCAGUGAUUUCCUCUCAUUGCAUGCUUCCAGUGGGAAGGGAUCUGCAAAGGCAAGGGGACAUUACAAUGUGAAGGGACUUUUUAUUGGGAACCAAGACAUGUAUUAAUGGUCACUUGACUUUGGACAAAAAAG
ensembl:lncRNA